rnacentral:rRNA from 1 species
GAUGAACGCUAGCGAUAGGCCUAACACAUGCAAGUCGAGGGGCAGCACAUGAGUAGCAAUACGAUGGUGGCGACCGGCGCACGGGUGAGUAACGCGUAUGCAACCUACCUGUUACAGGGGAAUAACCCGGAGAAAUCCGGACUAAUACCGCAUAACACUACGAUAUCGCAUGGUAUUGUAGUUAAAGAUUUAUUGGUAACAGAUGGGCAUGCGUGACAUUAGCUGGUUGGUGAGGUAACGGCUCACCAAGGCAACGAUGUCUAGGGGUUCUGAGAGGAAGGGCCCCCACACUGGUACUGAGACACGGACCAGACUCCCACGGGAGGCAGCAGUGAGGAAUAUUGGUCAAUGGGCGAGAGCCUGAACCAGCCCAAUCGCGUGCAGGAUGACUGCCUUAUGGGUUGUAAACUGCUUUUGUAAAGGAAUAACAACUCCUACGUGUAGGAGGAUGAAUGUACUUUAAGAAUAAGGAUCGGCUAACUCCGUGCCAGCAGCCGCCGCGGUAA